rnacentral:rRNA from 1 species
AGUGAAGCGGCAACAGCUCAAAUUUGAAAUCUGGCCCCUAGGGUCCGAGUUGUAAUUUGUAGAGGAUGCUUUUGGUGAGGUGCCGCCCGAGUUCCCUGGAACGGGACGCCGCAGAGGGUGAGAGCCCCGUCUGGCUGGCCACCGAGCCUCUGUAAAGCUCCUUCGACGAGUCGAGUAGUUUGGGAAUGCUGCUCAAAAUGGGAGGUAUAUGUCUUCUAAAGCUAAAUAUUGGCCAGAGACCGAUAGCGCACAAGUAGAGUGAUCGAAAGAUGAAAAGCACCUUGAAAAGAGGGUUAAACAGUACGUGAAAUUGUUGAAAGGGAAGCGCUUGUGACCAGACUUGGGCGCGGCGGAUCAUCCGGGGUUCUCCCCGGUGCACUUCGCCGCGUUCAGGCCAGCAUCAGUUCGGCGCGGGGGAAAAAGGCUUCGGGAACGUGGCUCCUCCGGGAGUGUUAUAGCCCGUUGCAUAAUACCCUGCGCUGGACUGAGGACCGCGC